AAAUUAGAAAGCGAAAAAUUGCAUUUAGUUUCGGCCUAAAUCUUGGUCUAUACCUCUAAUU
rnacentral:tRNA from 1 species